rnacentral:tRNA from 1 species
GGCGCGGUGGCGGAACUGGUAGACGCGCAAGUCUCAAAAACUUGUGAGGGUAAAACCUCGUGUCGGUUCGACUCCGACCCGCGCCACCA